UACGUAGGGGGCUAGCGUUGUCCGGAAUCAUUGGGCGUAAAGAGCGUGUAGGCGGUCCGGUAAGUCCGUUGUGAAAGUCAGGGGCUCAACCCUUGAAUGCCGGCGGAUACUGUCGGGCUAGAGUCCGGAAGGGGCGAGUGGAAUUCCUGGUGUAGCGGUGAAAUGCGCAGAUAUCAGGAGGAACACCGAUGGCGAAGGCAGGUCUCUGGGCCACUACUGACGCUGAGAAGCGAAAGCAUGGGGAGCGAACAGG
rnacentral:rRNA from 1 species